UACGUAGGGUGCAAGCGUUAAUCGGAAUUACUGGGCGUAAAGCGUACGCAGGCGGCUUUGCAAGACAGGUGUGAAAUCCCCGGGCCUAACCUGGGAACUGCAUUUGUGACUGCAUGGCUAGAGUUUGUCAGAGGGGGGUGGAAUUCCACGUGUAGCAGUGAAAUGCGUAGAUAUAUGGAGGAACACCGAUGGCGAAGGCAGCCCCCUGGGGUGUGACUGACGCUCAUGUACGAAAGCGUGGGGAGCAAACAGG
rnacentral:rRNA from 1 species